rnacentral:rRNA from 1 species
UGAGUAAUGUCUGGGAAACUGCCCGAUGGAGGGGGAUAACUACUGGAAACGGUAGCUAAUACCGCAUAACGUCGCAAGACCAAAGUGGGGGACCUUCGGGCCUCACACCAUCGGAUGUGCCCAGAUGGGAUUAGCUAGUAGGUGGGGUAAUGGCUCACCUAGGCGACGAUCCCUAGCUGGUCUGAGAGGAUGACCAGCCACACUGGAACUGAGACACGGUCCAGACUCCUACGGGAGGCAGCAGUGGGGAAUAUUGCACAAUGGGCGCAAGCCUGAUGCAGCCAUGCCGCGUGUAUGAAGAAGGCCUUCGGGUUGUAAAGUACUUUCAGCGGGGAGGAAGGCGGUGAAGUUAAUAGCUUCACCGAUUUGACGUUACCCGCAAAAGAAGCACCGGCUAACUCCGUGCCAGCAGCCGCGGUAAUACGGAGGGUGCAAGCGUUAAUCGGAAUUUACUGGGGCGUAAAGCGCACGCAGGCGGGUCUGUCAAGUCGGAUGGGAAAUCCCCGGGG